GCCUGGCUAACUCAGUUGGUAGAGAAUCAGACUUUUAUUCAGAGGGUCCAGGGUUCAAGUCCCUGCUCAAGCA